AGUGAACGCUGGCGGCAGGCCUAACACAUGCAAGUCGAGCGGCAGCGCGGGGGCAACCCUGGCGGCGAGCGGCGGACGGGUGAGGAAUGCAUCGGAAUCUACCUCGUUGUGGGGGGAUAACCUCGGGAAACCGGGACUAAUACCGCAUACGACCUACGGGUGAAAGUGGGGGACCUUCGGGCCUCACGCGAUGAGAUGAGCCGAUGCCGGAUUAGCUAGUUGGCGGGGUAAAGGCCCACCAAGGCGACGAUCCGUAGCUGGUCUGAGAGGAUGAUCAGCCACACUGGAACUGAGACACGGUCCAGACUCCUACGGGAGGCAGCAGUGGGGAAUAUUGGACAAUGGGCGCAAGCCUGAUCCAGCCAUGCCGCGUGUGUGAAGAAGGCCUUC
rnacentral:rRNA from 1 species